AUGCUUACUCGGCAGGGGAGAUAACAUGAUCAUAAAGAUGGUUUUUCCAGGGGGAGACUUAGCCAUUGCACCCCAGAUGUGCUGACCUCUGUGAUUUCCCCAAGCCCGACUGCAUCAUUUGUGGCAGCGGGGCACUGCAUUCACCCUCU
rnacentral:snRNA from 1 species